rnacentral:rRNA from 1 species
GGUCAGUGGCGUCCUGGUGCGUAACACGUGGGCGACCUACCUCGCAGUGGGGAAUAACUGUCCGAAAGGAUAGCUAAUACCGCAUGUGCUCCAGUCUUCGGUGGUUGGAGCAAAGACCCGCAAGGGUCGCUGUGAGAGGGGCUCGCGGCCCAUCAGCUAGUUGAUGAGGUAACGGCUCACCAAGGCGAUGACGGGUAGCUGGUCUGAGAGGACGAUCAGCCACACUGGCACUGACACACGGGCCAGACUCCUACGGGAGGCAGCAGUAAGGAAUAUUGCACAAUGGGCGAAAGCCUGAUGCAGCAACGCCGCGUGGGCGAUGAAGGCCUUCAGGUCGUAAAGCCCUUUUCUGGGGGAUGAGGGAGGACAGUACCCCAGGAAUAAGUCUCGGCUAACUACGUGCCAGCAGCCGCGGUAAAACGUAGGAGGCGAGCGUUAUCCGGAUUUAUUGGGCGUAAAGCGCGCGUAGGCGGCUCUGUAAGUCGGGCGUGAAAUCUCCUGGCUCAACUGGGAGGAGUCGUCCGAUACUGCGGAGCUUGAGGGCAAGAGAGGGAGGUGGAAUUCCCGGUGUAGUGGUAAAAUGCGUAGAUAUCGGGAGGAACACCAGUGGCGAAAGCGGCCUCCUGGCUUGCCCCUGACGCUGAGGCGCGAAAGCGUGGGGAGCGAACGGGAUUAGAUACCCCGGUAGUCCACGCUGUAAACUAUGGUGGCUAGGUGUUGGCGGUAUUGACCCCGUCUGUGCCGAAGCAAACGCGUUAAGCCACCCGCCUGGGGACUACGGCCGCAAGGUUAAAACUCAAAGGAAUUGACGGGGGCCCGCACAAGCAGCGGAGCGUGUGGUUCAAUUCGAUUCGACGCGAAAAACCUUACCUGGGUUUGACAUGUACGUAGUAGUGAACCGAAAGGGGAACGAGCCUUCGGGCAGCGUACACAGGUGCUGCAUGGCUGUCGUCAGCUCGUGCCGUGAGGUGUUGGGUUAAGUCCCGCAACGAGCGCAACCCUCGCUGUUAGUUACAAGUGUCUAACGGGACUGCCGGUAUCAAACCGGAGGAAGGUGGGGAUGACGUCAAGUCAGCAUGGCCUUUAUAUCCAGGGCUACACACACGCUACAAUGGGCGGUACAAUGGGUCGCAAAGCCGUGAGGCGAAGCUAAUCCCACCAAAACCGUCCUCAGUUCAGAUCGCAGGCUGCAACCCGCCUGCGUGAAGUCGGAGUUGCUAGUAACCGCCGGUCAGCAAUACGGCGGUGAAUACGUUCCCGGGCCUUGUACACACCGCCCGUCACGUCAUGGGAGCCGGUAACACCUGAAGUCGGUGAGCCAACCGUAAGGAGGCAGCUGCCGAGGGUGGGACUGGUAACUGGGACGAAGUCGUAACAAGGUA